UUUGACGCAGCUCUCUCCAUCUCUCUCUGUCUGUCUCAGCCUCUCCAUUGCAGCUCUUCUCACUCUCGAGUCUCGCCAUAGCUCUCUUUUCUCAGCCUCUCUCCAUCGCUCUCCGUCGAUCUCUCUUGUCUCAGCUUCGUCAUCGCUCUCCGUAGAUCUAUCUCGUCUCAGCCUCUUCCUAUCGGCGUUCCUCUCAAGUUCAGACCCCUCAUGCUCUCACUCUCUCGACGACGCUCAGACCCUCUCAAGCUCUCGACGACCAUCUUACGCACUCUCUCAAGGUCAUCACCUCUCUUUGAGCUUCGACCAAACCCAUAUCGAGCUUUCUCUUCUCCUCCACAGACGACGCCUCUCGAGCUCCCUCGUCUCCUCCACAGACGACGCCGUACAGUACAUUCAUGGUUUAGCUGCUAAAGGAGUACAUUAUAUUCAUCGCCCUGCUCCUACUCUCCAGGAUCUUGGCUUCUUUCUUCUUCCGGAGCUUGGUCAAGAGAGAAGCUACAUAAGUGAGACCCUCUUCACUACUGUUUUUCUUUCUUUCUUCCUGG